CCUACACACCUAUAGCAUAUUCAGCCUUCAUUGGUCGAUUGUUUGAAAUCCUUCUAACAUACCGAACCAACAUAACUCAAGAAUACAUGCUGAUGUAGAUAUUCUACCAUCAGCAUUAGUGUAUCCUUCCACUCUUAGCUCUAACCCUUCUUCAAAGAUAAGGAAUAAUUCUUUAGUGCUUUUCAAGUACUUAAAAAUAUUUUUCACAGUAUUUCAAUACUCCCAGCC
rnacentral:lncRNA from 1 species